GAGAAUUAUGAGGAAGUGGUGGUAAAAACGAGUUGACACUUUGAGUGCCAAAGAAAAGUCCAAAAGAGCGUUGUUAUCUAGUUCAAGUCAUUGGUGUUUUUCCUUGGAGGUUCCAAGCAAGCAUAGGUGGUGAACCAGCGCCUCUUUUGUUCCAUCGAAGUUGAUCGAGGUCCUAAUUAGGAGUUCCUGAUUGAUCCGACUCGUCAUCAUCACAAAGAGCAUUAAAAGCUUGGAUAUCAAAGAUCCCUUGGUGAAAGGUCAUUUUUUCGCGCGAAGAACCAAUUAUGUAUACCGUGGCAUGGAGGAAUUUGUGAUCAGUGACAGAUUUUUGAUAGAUUCCAAAUCUAAAUUCCAAUCUUUAGGUGUGAUAAUUUUGUUGGUUAUUUACGAUGGUGUUGUUAGUGUUCGCAACCAAUUCGUAUAUGGAAAAUAUUUUGUGGGUGGCCGUGAUGAGGAAGACACUGGUAAAGGAAAGUUUUGAUUCCAAAUUCAAAUUCAAAUUUUUAGGUUUAUUUCGCGCGAGGAAGACACUGGUACAGGGAAAAUUUGAUUCCGAGUUCUCUUGCUGUGACAAUUUUUUUGGUUGAUUACGGUGGUAUUGUUAGGGCUUGCAAUUGAUUUCGGUAAAUAUUCACUAUUAUUUUGAUCAUAUUUUUCUUGUUUGAGAUUAUGAUUACAGUAGUUGCUAACUGGGUUUCAUUAUGAUAUUUCCUUAAGAUAGUAUGUAUCGGAAAAAGACGUUGGAGGGGGGGGGAGAGGGGUCUGUUGCGAUUUUCUACUAGUAUGCGCAUGCAUUUGUUGGGGUACUUUUUUCCGGUGUAGUAUACAUAUAUUUAUUAAUUUUAUACCUUUGUUGUUUGAUAUUGUGUGCUAUAUUUGUUUGAAAAUACUCUGGUUUUGUUGGUAUAUAGUAUGACUAU